rnacentral:rRNA from 1 species
UACGUAGGGUGCGAGCGUUAAUCGGAAUUACUGGGCGUAAAGCGUGCGUAGGCGGUUGGCAAAGUCAGCUGUGAAAGCCCCCGGGCUCAACCUGGGAAUGGCGGUUGAAACUAGUCGACUCGAAUCUGGCAGAGGGGGGUGGAAUUCCACGUGUAGCAGUGAAAUGCGUAGAGAUGUGGAGGAACACCGAUGGCGAAGGCAGCCCCCUGGGCUGACACUGACGCUCAUGCACGAAAGCGUGGGGAGCAAACAGG